rnacentral:rRNA from 1 species
AUUGAACGCUGGCGGCAGGCCUAACACAUGCCAGUCGAGCGGAUGAAGGGAGCUUGCUCCUGGAUUCAGCGGCGGACGGGUGAGUAAUGCCUAGGAAUCUGCCUGGUAGUGGGGGAUAACGUCCGGAAACGGGCGCUAAUACCGCAUACGUCCUGAGGGAGAAAGUGGGGGAUCUUCGGACCUCACGCUAUCAGAUGAGCCUAGGUCGGAUUAGCUAGUUGGUGGGGUAAAGGCCUACCAAGGCGACUAUCCGUAACUGGUCUGAGAGGAUGAUCAGGCACACUGGAACUGAGACACGGUCCAGACUCCUACGGGAGGCAGCAGUGGGGAAUAUUGGACGAUGGGCGAAAGCCUGAUCCAGCCAUGCCGCGUGUGUGAAGAAGGUCUUCGGAUUGUAAAGCACUUUAAGUUGGGAGGAAGGGCAGUAAGUUAAUACCUUGCUGUUUUGACGUUACCAACAGAAUAAGCACCGGCUAACUUCGUG